UAGGGAAUCUUCCGCAAUGGACGCAAGUCUGACGGAGCAACGCCGCGUGAGUGAAGAAGGAUUUCGGUUCGUAAAACUCUGUUGUUAGAGAAGAACAGCGCAUAGAGUAACUGUUAUGCGUGUGACGGUAUCUAACCUGAAAGCCACGGCUAACUACGUGCCAGCAGCCGCGGUAAUACGUAGGUGGCAAGCGUUGUCCGGAUUUAUUGGGCGUAAAGCGAGCGCAGGCGGUCAAUUAAGUCUGAUGUGAAAGCCCCCGGCUCAACCGGGGAGGGUCAUUGGAAACUGGUUGACUUGAGUGCAGAAGAGGAGAGUGGAAUUCCAUGUGUAGCGGUGAAAUGCGUAGAUAUAUGGAGGAACACCAGUGGCGAAGGCGACUCUCUGGUCUGUAACUGACGCGGAGGUUCGAAAGCGUGGGUAGCAAACAGG
rnacentral:rRNA from 1 species